rnacentral:rRNA from 1 species
AAACUUUGCAAUGUGCGAAAGCACGACAAGGUUAAUCCGAGUGGUUUCUGCUAAAGGAACCUUUUGACAGUCCUAGAAACACUGUUGAAUAAGGGGUGGGCAAGUUCUGGUGUCAGCCGCCGCGGUAAAACCAGCACCUCAAGUGGUCAGGAUGAUUAUUGGGCCUAAAGCAUCCGUAGCCGGCUCAGUAAGUUUUCGGUUAAAUCUGUACGCUCAACGUACAGGCUGCCGGGAAUACUGCAGAGCUAGGGAGUGGGAGAGGUAGACGGUACUCGGGAGGAAGUGGUAAAAUGCUUUGAUCUUUCGAUGACCACCUGUGGCGAAGGCGGUCUACCAGAACACGUCCGACGGUGAGGGAUGAAAGCUGGGGGAGCAAACCGGAUUAGAUACCCGGGUAGUCCCAGCUGUAAACUAUGCAAACUCAGUGAUGCAUUGGCUUGUGGCCAAUGCAGUGUUGCAGGGAAGCCGUUAAGUUUGCCGCCUGGGAAGUACGUACGCAAGUAUGAAACUUAA